AGGGAGCUAGUCCAAAACAAGACCUCUGAUUUCGGCUCAGAAAACCGUGGUUUGAUUCCACGACUCCCUC
rnacentral:tRNA from 1 species